rnacentral:rRNA from 1 species
UACGGCGAACUGCGAUGGCUCAUUAUAUAAGUUAUCGUUUAUUUGAUAGCACCUUACUACUUGGAUAACCGUGGUAAUUCUAGAGCUAAUACAUGCUGAAAAUCCCGACUUCGGAAGGGAUGUAUUUAUUGGAUUAAAAACCAAUGCCCUCUGGGCUCCUUGGUGAUUCACGAUAACUUCUCGAAUCGCAUGGCCUUGCGCCGGCGAUGGUUCAUUCAAAUUUCUUCCCUAUCAACUUUCGAUGUUUGGGUAGUGGCCAAACAUGGUUGCAACGGGUAACGGAGGGUUAGGGCUCGACCCCGGAGAAGGAGCCUGAGAAACGGCUACUACAUCCAAGGAAGGCAGCAGGCGCGCAAAUUACCCAAUCCCGACACGGGGAGGUAGUGACAAUAAAUACUGAUACAGGGCUCUUUUGGGUCUUGUAAUUGGAAUGAGUACAAUUUAAAUCCCUUAACGAGGAACAAUUGGAGGGCAAGUCUGGUGCCAGCAGCCGCGGUAAUUCCAGCUCCAAUAGCGUAUAUUAAAGUUGUUGUGGUUAAAAAGCUCGUAGUUGAACCUUGGGCCUGGCUGGCCGGUCCGCCUCACCGCGUGCACUGGUCCGGCCGGGCCUUUCCCUCUGUGGAACCCCAUGCCCUUCACUGGGCGUGGCGGGGAAACAGGACCUUUACUUUGAAAAAAUUAGAGUGCUCCAGGCAGGCCUAUGCUCGAAUACAUUAGCAUGGAAUAAUGAAAUAGGACGUGCGGUUCUAUUUUGUUGGUUUCUAGGACCGCCGUAAUGAUUAAUAGGGACAGUCGGGGGCAUCAGUAUUCAAUUGUCAGAGGUGAAAUUCUUGGAUUUAUUGAAGACUAACUACUGCGAAAGCAUUUGCCAAGGAUGUUUUCAUUAAUCAGGAACGAAAGUUAGGGGAUCGAAGACGAUCAGAUACCGUCGUAGUCUUAACCAUAAACUAUGCCGACUAGGGAUCGGACGAUGUUAUUUUUUGACUCGUUCGGCACCUUUACGAGAAAUCAAAGUGCUGGGGCUCCAGGGGAGUAUGGUUCGCAAGGCUGAAACUAAGAAUUGACGGAAGGCACACAGGUGG